GACGGAGGAUGCAAGCGUUAUCCGGAAUGAUUGGGCGUAAAGCGUCCGCAGGUGGCUGUUCAAGUCUGCUGUCAAAGACCGGGGCUUAACUUCGGAAAGGCGGUGGAAACUGAACAGCUAGAGUAUGGUAGGGGCAGAGGGAAUUCCUGGUGUAGCGGUGAAAUGCGUAGAGAUCAGGAAGAACAUCGGUGGCGAAGGCGCUCUGCUGGACCAUAACUGACACUCAGGGACGAAAGCUAGGGGAGCGAAUGGG
rnacentral:rRNA from 1 species